rnacentral:rRNA from 1 species
UAGGGAAUCUUCGGCAAUGGACGAAAGUCUGACCGAGCAACGCCGCGUGAGUGAAGAAGGUUUUCGGAUCGUAAAACUCUGUUGUUAGAGAAGAACAAGGACGUUAGUAACUGAACGUCCCCUGACGGUAUCUAACCAGAAAGCCACGUCUAACUACGUGCCAGCAGCCGCGGUAAUACGUAGGUGGCAAGCGUUGUCCGGAUUUAUUGGGCGUAAAGCGAGCGCAGGCGGUUUCUUAAGUCUGAUGUGAAAGCCCCCGGCUCAACCGGGGAGGGUCAUUGGAAACUGUGAGACUUGAGUGCAGAAGAGGAGAGUGGAAUUCCAUGUGUAGCGGUGAAAUGCGUAGAUAUAUGGAGGAACACCAGUGUCGAAGGCGGCUCUCUGGUCUGUAACUGACGCUGAGGCUCGAAAGCGUGGGGAGCAAACAGG